UACGUAGGGUGCGAGCGUUGUCCGGAAUUACUGGGCGUAAAGAGCUCGUAGGUGGUUUGUCGCGUUGUUCGUGAAAACUCACAGCUCAACUGUGGGCGUGCGGGCGAUACGGGCAGACUGGAGUACUGCAGGGGAGACUGGAAUUCCUGGUGUAGCGGUGAAAUGCGCAGAUAUCAGGAGGAACACCGGUGGCGAAGGCGGGUCUCUGGGCCUUACCUGACGCUGAGGAGCGAAAGCGUGGGUAGCGAACAGG
rnacentral:rRNA from 1 species